rnacentral:misc_RNA from 1 species
GCAAACUUGGUCAUUUAGAGGAAGUAAAAGUCGUAACAAGGUUUCCGUAGGUGAACCUGCGGAAGGAUCAUUAGCGAAGUCAGGAUGGACGGCGGGGGGUCCCCCCCGGGGCCCCCCUCCCCCGCCUCAAAAAACCGUGUCUACCAGAACCCCGUCAGUUGCCUCGGCGCCAGUGGUCCGGACGAUGCCCUCUGUCCGCGGGGGGAGGUCCCCGGGCCCGGCGCCGGUGGGAUGUACCUAAAAACAGUGUCGAAAAGUUGGACGUCUGAGUGAGAUAGGUUUGAAUACAUCAAAACUUUCAACAACGGAUCUCUUGGCUCCGGCAUCGAUGAAGAACGCAGC